GACACCAUAACAGGUAACAAGACACCAUAACAGGUAACAAGACACCAUAACAGGUAACAAGACACCAUAACAGGUAACAGACACCAUAACAGGUAACAAGACACCAUAACAGGUAACAAGACACC